rnacentral:rRNA from 1 species
ACGAACGCUGGCGGCGUGCCUAAUACCUGCAAGUUGAGCGCUGAAGGUUGGUACUUGUACCAACUGGAUGAGCAGCGAACGGGUGAGUAACGCGUGGGGAAUCUGCCUUUGAGCGGGGGACAACAUUUGGAAACGAAUGCUAAUACCGCAUAAAAACUUUAAACACAAGUUUUAAGUUUGAAAGAUGCAAUUGCAUCACUCAAAGAUGAUCCCGCGUUGUAUUAGCUAGUUGGUGAGGUAAAGGCUCACCAAGGCGAUGAUACAUAGCCGACCUGAGAGGGUGAUCGGCCACAUUGGGACUGAGACACGGCCCAAACUCCUACGGGAGGCAGCAGUAGGGAAUCUUCGGCAAUGGACGAAAGUCUGACCGAGCAACGCCGCGUGAGUGAAGAAGGUUUUCGGAUCGUAAAACUCUGUUGGUAGAGAAGAACGUUGGUGAGAGUGGAAAGCUCAUCAAGUGACGGUAACUACCCAGAAAGGGACGGCUAACUACGU